GCGACCGUAGCUCAGUUGGUUAGAGCGCUGGAUUGUGAUUCCAGAGGUCGCGGGUUCAAGACCCGUCGGUCGCCCCA
rnacentral:tRNA from 1 species